CAGUAGCCGCGGGAAUACGUAGGUGGCGAGCGUUGUCCGGAAUUAUUGGGCGUAAAGGGAGCGCAGGCGGACAUAUAAGUCCAUCUUAGAAGUGCGGGGCUCAACCCCGUGAGGGGAUGGAAACUGUAUGCCUUGAGUGCAGGAGAGGAAAGCGGAAUUCCCAGUGUAGCGGUGAAAUGCGUAGAUAUUGGGAGGAACACCAGUGGCGAAGGCGGCUUUCUGGACUGCAACUGACGCUGAGGCUCGAAAGCCAGGGGAGCGAACGGGAUUAGAUACCCCAGUAGUCCCUGUCUCUUAUACA
rnacentral:rRNA from 1 species